GUGCCAGCCGCCGCGGUAAUACGAAGGGUGCAAGCGUUAAUCGGAAUUACUGGGCGUAAAGCGUGCGUAGAUGGCUGAUUAAGUCGGAUGUGAAAGCCCCGGGCUCAACCUGGGAAUGGCAUCCGAUACUGGUUGGCUAGAGUGCGGUAGAGGAGAGCGGAAUUCCCGGUGUAGCGGUGAAAUGCGUAGAGAUCGGGAGGAACAUCCGUGGCGAAGGCGGCUCUCUGGACCAGCACUGACGUUGAGGCACGAAAGCGUGGGGAGCAAACAGGAUUAGAUACCCUAGUAGUCC
rnacentral:rRNA from 1 species